GAUUUUGCCAGGAGUGUGACCAGAUAAAUAGAAGGUGAUUAAAAUUAAUGAAGCUGUGAAAACCUUGAAAGCCUCAGCUAAACAGAGAAUUUUUAAGCCUGGUUUCACACUAAAAUGAAACAAUCAACUCCCUAGAAUGAAAUGCUGUCAGCUUUCAAGCUGGAGUUUCAUCUUGGAUAUGAGACUGUUCUACGACCCAUGCAGCCCCACUGUGCAAAUGGGCUGAAAUCGUGUUGUCUCCUCUGGGGUUUUCUGUAGGAAAUUCAUACCACUUCCUCAUAGUUUAAAAGCUGGAGAUGAUGAAAUGGGAUUGUCUGACCUCCUGGAAGUCUCACUACUGGCUGUCCAUUAACAUACACCUUUUGCAGCAGGCUACUUUCUCAGACAUUCAUAUUAUCGGGGCAGAGAAGGUCGUUUCCUUCUGCACUCAGAUUCCAAAUGAGAGCCAGGUUUGGAGCCUUUUGGAUUCCUCCUGGGGGAAUCUGCUCCUACAGCAAAUACAGAAAACUUUCAAGAAAAACUGGAGCCUGCAGUUCUUCACUGCGAGACAGAUCAGUCUUGAUAAGCUGAGGAAUAAGAAGGAUGAUUAUCCCUUCUUCUAUUCACAUGCAACAUUAAAUACUCUCAGUUUAAACAUGCCUGAAUGUUUUCUUACCAAGAAGUGAGUCAUCUUCACUGUUUUCUACUAACCAUUAACCAAUGCAUGAUCUGGAAGAUCACACUGCUAGUGGCUGUGGCUGAACAAGGCAGCUAACCCAUUUUGGUCUCAAGGAUGUGUUUGGGUCCGCUCCUGAAAAGCAGCUCAUGG